CGGGGAAGGAUAACAGUGUGCAUGGUUGUCGUCAGCUCGUGUCGUGAGAUGUGGGUAAGUAACGCACGAGCGCACCCUGGUCUUAGUUCCAGCAUUCAGUGGGCACUCUAAGGUACUGCCGGUGACAAACCGGAGGAAGGUGGGGAUGACGUCAAAUCAUCAUGCCCCUUAUGACCUGGGCUACACACGUGCUACAAUGGACAGAACAAAGGGCUUCGAGACCGCAAGGUUUAGCCAAUCCCACAAAUCUGUUCUCAGUUCGGAUCGCAGUCUGCAACUCACUGCGUGAAGCUGGAAUCGCUAGUAAUCGCGGAUCAGCAUGCCGCGGUGAAUACGUUCCCGGGCCUUGUACACACCGCCCGUCACACCACGAGAGUUUGCAACACCCGAAGUACGCUGACGUAACCUUUAUCGAGUCAGACGUCUGAAGGCCGCGCCACG
rnacentral:rRNA from 1 species